rnacentral:rRNA from 1 species
GACGAACGCUGGCGGCGUGCUUAACACAUGCAAGUCGAACGGUGAAAGAGAGCUUGCUCUCUGGAUCAGUGGCGAACGGGUGAGUAACACGUGAGUAACCUGCCCCAGACUCUGGAAUAACCCCGGGAAACCGGAGCUAAUACCGGAUACGAGACGGAGAGGCAUCUCUACCGUCUGGAAAGUUUUUCGGUCUGGGAUGGACUCGCGGCCUAUCAGCUUGUUGGUGAGGUAAUGGCUCACCAAGGCGACGACGGGUAGCCGGCCUGAGAGGGCGACCGGCCACACUGGGACUGAGACACGGCCCAGACUCCUACGGGAGGCAGCAGUGGGGAAUAUUGCACAAUGGGCGAAAGCCUGAUGCAGCGACGCCGCGUGAGGGAUGACGGCCUUCGGAUUGUAAACCUCUUUCAGUAGGGAAGAAGCGAAAGUGACGGUACCUACAAAAGAAGCACCGGCUAACUACGUG